ensembl:lncRNA
UUUUUUUUUUAAUUUUUUUGGAUAAGGCUUAUAUAAGCUGUCCAUCCUCAGCCUGCACGAGAGGCAAAAGCCUUUUAAAUUUUUAUUUAUUUUUUAAUAGUGUAUAUAUAGUGAGUAUAGCUUCAGAUAGCUGUUCUCUUCUUAUGAAUUGAGGGAGGAGUGCCAGCAAUUUCUGUGCACCCCUACAGAAUGUGUAUUUUGACAUACCCAGCCCAUAAGUGCUGAAAUUUUUCUUAGAAUAUACUUAAAGGCAAACGUAUAUGGCUAGAAACACAUGGAAAAUUUAAAAUGACCUUUCAAUAUACGGUUCCUACUUUUUUGGUAUUUUUUAAAGAUUUGGAAAUUAUACAAUGUCUUUCAUUUCCUGUCACAAGCAGGCAAGUAUUAUUCUGAUGGCUAUCAGUAUGUGCUAACACAAGCGUCACACUGGGAUGGGGACUUUUAAUGUUAUUCUUUUCUGAACUCUACUGUAAUGUGACAAAAAUGUGCUUUAAGAAAAUGUGAGCCACUUCUGUGCUUCUCAUAAAAAAUAGUCAGCCGGCAUGGUGGUGCAUGCCUUGAGUCCUAGCGGGUAGAUCUACACGAGUUCGAGGCUAGCCUGGUCUACACAGUGAGUUCCAGGAUAGCCAGGGCUACACAGAGAAACCCCGUCUCAGGAAAAACAAAACCAAGACAAAAAACAAAAACAAAAUCGUGUUUUCUCCAGAAGAGCAGUUCUUUGGACAGAAGACUGAAACAACUGUGAUGUUAGAAAGUUGACAUGAUUUAACUCCUGCAACGAGAAUGGCUGUGACUGGCUUUAAUAGUGACAGCUUUUAAGAGAGCAGCUAUGGUUACUUAAAAAACAAGCUUAGGACAUACUUUAAAAUUCAAAAUGUUUGCUAUUGACUUCCUCAAACAAGUUGGCUAGCGCCCCGUUGCAGGCCGGAGGCACACACACCUUUCUAUUUAAAGGAAAGUACUGUCUUUGAGAUAGCAGCACCCAGUACAUCCUGGAGUCUUCAUUUAUACUUAGAAUGACCACGUGGCGAUUCUAUUUUUUAACUGAGCUUCUGAGCUGUUUUUAGUAAAUCACUUGAGGCUAAAUUCAAGUCUACCGGUCAGAGUGGGUCCUGAGAGAAAAAUCAUGAAAAUCUGGGGGUGCAGAAAUGGCCCCAAGCUAACUGAACAGUUCCUCCAUUGCUUGAAUGUCUGUCUUCUUUAAAGAGGGACCAAGUAGGAGGCUGCAGCCCACUGGGUGCUCUCAGGUACUUAGGGACUGUGUUUCUAAGGCUGGCUGGCUAGAACUCCUUGCCUGUGAUGGUUUGGGGGCCUAACUGGAGAACCGGCCUCAAAUCCUUUAAGAGGUUGUUAGAAUUGCAGCCGGUCCUAUAAAUGCUGGAGUCUUUGGAACCAAACACUGAACGGAAGCUACCAGGCAUAAUCUUGCACUACUCCUACCGAAAGCUGCUUCAGCAGAUCCUCAGGCAGUAGGGUCUCAUCAGUGAAAUCACUGGAUAGAUUCUGACAAAGGCAUGUGAAUGGACGAGGCCGUAUAAGGAUGCGCUGGGUAAACUCUUCAGUCUACUAUAUGCUUCUCUGUGCUACUAAGGACCCUAAUGGCAAGUCUCCUUAUGUGAAAAUUGGGGUUCAGAGGUGUGAGCCCGAUGUAGAGACAUAUAUCCAGAGAGCACCUAUAAGGACGAAGAGCUGGGGCAGAGAUGUGAAGUCAGAUAUGCUGGGGUGCCCUUUCCGCACCAUCCCUUGCACAAUAUGCCAAGUUUCUAUUACCCAAAUGUUUAUGCUUUGAAAAUACUACUCUAAGCCAGGGGUGGGGUGAGGGCGACAGCUCAUGCCUUUAGUCCAAGCACACUAGAGACAGAGGCAGAGGAAGGAUCUCUGAGUUUAAGGCUAGACUGGUAUACUGAGCAAGUUCCAGGACAGCCAGGGCUACAUAGAGAAACCCUGUCUAGAAAAGCCAAAACAAACAAACUAACCAACCAAUCAAACAAACCCAAAAGCCAAACACAUAAACACACACAAACACACACAAAUCUAAAAAACCAAAAUCAACCUCCCACUACCCCACCUCCCCAAAAGCCAAAACAAAACUAUUUAGAAAUGAAGUUAAACUCUAUACUUGAAAACUCUAGAGAAUACGGGAAGAUUCCGGUUUAGAAGAGCUGUAUUUUUUCUUGAGCAAAGCUAAGGAAAACAACUUUUUUUCCUUUCUUUCUUUUUCUUUUUUCUUUUUUGGCUAAAGCGAAACCCUCAAAAUUAUUUUCACUUUAGCACAUGGAUGCUAAAAUAAAAUGGACUAGGCCUUGAUGUAGUGAGUUUUAUGUUCCAUUUCCAGGUUCUAGCAAAAAUGUCUCUAUUGUGGGCCUUGUUCAAUGACAAGGCAGAAAACUCACCCUCCAAGUGGGACCUAGAGUAGACUUUUGUCCCAGAGGCUCUGGGCUGAUUUCUGUCUCAGGUUUGACAGUGUUGACAGCACAGCCUAGUGCUGGAAUGACCAAGUGCAGAAUAUUUUCGCGGCCUAUCUUCUGUCUUUUUAAAUUUUGCUUUUGGAAAAAAAAAAUCCUGUUCCUUGAGAUACUGAAUAGGAAGAAUGUAAUGUCAUAAAAAAAAAAAAUCCCAACCUCCAAAGCUCUCAGGAAAGACAUCAAAUUCUUCUCCAUACAAAGCAAUCACAUGCACCUUUCAGCGGCAAAGAACCCAGUAAGGCUCCAUAAUAUAUAUAAACACCAUCUGAAGCCUAUCCUACUGUGUGAAAGAAACAUCAGCUGCCCUUUCAGAGUUCUACACUGAAACAAGAUCUACCUUUUACUCACAUGCACUCAGACACGAUUCAAAACGCAGCUGAACUCCCCCCAAAGCUGCUUUUCUACACAUUCUACGGAGCGGGGCCAGCUUAGCACUCAGCCGCGGAUAAUAAGGCAAAGGUGGCAUGGACUGUACAGGACCCAGAGAGAACAGUGAAGUACAGUUGUUUACAGGCUAGGUUAGCUCUGCAGAGAGCAGGGCUCAGCACGAGGCACCAGAAAAAAAAAAAA